AGCGAACGCUGGCGGCAGGCUUAACACAUGCAAGUCGAGCGCCCCGCAAGGGGAGCGGCAGACGGGUGAGUAACACGUGGGAACGUGCCUUUUGGUUCGGAACAACCCAGGGAAACUUGGGCUAAUACCGGAUAAGCUCUUACGUGGAAAGAUGUCUCGCCAAAAGAUCGGUCCGCGUCUGAUUAGAUAGUUGGUGGGGUAAUGGCCCACGAAGGCUACGAUCAGGAGCUGGUCUGAGAGGAUUUUCAGCCACAUUGGGACGGAGACACGGCCCAAACUCCGACGGGAGGCAGCAGUGGGGAAUAGUGGACAAUGGGGGCAACCCUGAUCCAGCCAUGCCGCGUGAGUGAUGAAGGCCGUAGGGUUGUAAAGCCCUUUUAGCAGGGAAGAUAAUGACGGUACCUGCAGAAAAAGCCCCGGCUAACUUCGUGCCAGCCGCCGCAGUAA
rnacentral:rRNA from 1 species